rnacentral:misc_RNA from 1 species
UCAAACUUGGUCAUUUAGAGGAAGUAAAAGUCGUAACAAGGUUUCCGUAGGUGAACCUGCGGAAGGAUCAUUACUGAGUUAGGGUUCCCUCUUCGGGGCCCGAUCUCCCAACCCUGUGUCUAACAUACCUUGUUGCUUCGGCGGACCGGUUGACCAACUGGUCUCACCGCCGGGGUGGCUCAGCCGCCCUGGAGAGCGUCCGCCGACGGCCUACCACAGAACUCUUGUACCUAAACUUGUCGUCUGAAUUUUGAUUGAUAAAUAUAAACCAAAACUUUCAACAACGGAUCUCUUGGUUCUGGCAUCGAUGAAGAACGCAGC